UCCAGGUCAGUGCUCUCUUUGAUAGGUGG
rnacentral:sRNA from 1 species